CCACAGCCUGCCCGCCAGAGCCCACCCUCUGCAGGGCAUAGGAUGCUGCCUGGAGUCACAUGAGCCCGGGUCCUUGCAGCCAGGAUUUUAGUCCCGGCAGAGAGCAGAUGGAACUGGGAUGUGUGGCUUCUGAGCAGAACAGGAGCGUGGACCUCUGCUCUCUGUUCCUUUUCUGUUCUGGCCAGAGUGGGACACAACAGCUGGAGCUGCAGCAGCCCUCUGGGGCUAGGAGGUAGCCUUGGAAAGGGAGCCAGGCUCACAGAUGAAUAGGCAAGGCAGAGCCUGGAUCCUGACCCUGGCGGCAGCAUCCUAGCCCAAACCCUAAGAGGGAUGUAAACACCUGCUGUAUUUAAGCCACCUGGGGAUUGGGGCUUGUGGUCACUGGCAGGGCGCUGACCCCUCUGCCUGCCCAAGUGUCAACAGGAAGAAGAUGAAAGGAAAGAAAGAAAACAGCUCCAGGACCGAGAGCUCAGCAUCUUCAACAUGGACUCGGACUUAGUGCUCACAGUAGUGGGCACUGGAAACUCUGUUUACCAAGGAGGAAACCAAGGCUUAGAGAGGAGAAGCCCCCACUCAGGGCCCUCCCGAGGCAGCAGCACAGGGCAGGACCUGCCUCCGUGCACAGGAAGGGCCAGGCCAGGAGCCACCCACGCAGCGAGCACACAGAGUAAGUGGCAGCACCUACCCCAGCCAUGACACCGAGCGCCCUGGGACCACCCAGCACCAACCUCCUCCACUCAUGACCUCUGCACUAUUCUCAGCAGCUCUGUGUGAGGGUGAUGUGGCUCCAGUCCAGCCCACAGAGGGACCCUGCAGGCUGCUGCAGGACACCCUGGACCAGGGAGCCUGAGAAGAAAGGGAGAGAGCAGGGAGGUAGACUAGACGCCACUCAGAGCGCCCGGAUCCAGCCAUGCCUGAAGCCCACCUUCCCUGCAUCACAUCCAACUCUGCCUCAGUGCUGUGAAUUCAGUUCUGCCGCACACAGCAGGAACAGCCUUGCUACAGCUCCUGGAGUACAAGCCGGGCUCUACUCCUGUCCCACGGCAGCGUUGGGGAUCAUCAGCAACAUUGUGCACACGCCCAGGGAGCCCGAGUGACAGGCUUCCUCCUCUCCAGCAUGGCUGCACCCAUGGGCUGUGCGGUUGGCUCUGGGGUCCUCACAAAGUCAACUUUGCACUGAGGCUAUUCAGUGUAUCUACUCGCAUCGAAACACACCAAGAUGGCCACUGUAUUUUAUUCCAUCAUUCUUGUGGUCCUGGGUAUGGAACCCAGGGCCUCACACAUGCUAGGCAAAUCCUCUACACCCCAGCUUAUGACUGCUGUGGUUUUGUUUUGUGCUGUUUUUGAGACAGGGUCUCGCUAUGUAUUGCAAGCCGGUUUUGAACUCAAGAGAUCCUCCUGCCUCAGCUUCCUGAGAGCCGGGGUGACAGGUGUGUUCCACCACAGCCAGAUCAACUGCUGUUUUAGAUUUAGGUUGAGACUACAAACUUUAAGUGGUUAGCCUGGCACGGUGGUACACACCUGUCAUCCCAGCACUCUGCAGGCUGAAACAGAAGGAUCACCACACAUUUGAAGCCAACCUGGAAUACAUAGCAAGACCCUGUCAAAAAAAAACCAGAUCCAAGGACAUCUAACCACAACACUCAUCCUCUCCUGAACCCCACUGCAAGCCAACAUUGCACCAGCCCCACGGCACAGGGGGACUGCGACUGGCCCAGACGCCAGGACAAGCCAGUCUGACUUGGCAGAGGGACCCCGCUGUCAACAAUCAGAGGAGCCUGCCUCGCAAGGCCUGGACCCAGUGGGGACUGGCCGUGCACACAGGGCGCCCUCUCCCUCACCUGCUGCUCACAGCUUUGAGCCGGCACCCCGGACUGCUCCAGGCGCACUGAGCACUUGUGCCGAUGAGAGGCCCACUCCCGCCACAGGGCCUGGAUGUCUGUAGCUCUGGCACUGCCCAGCACCCACAGGAAGCUUCCUGCCACCCCACUGUGACAGCCCUUCCACCACUGUGGCCUGUGUCAGAGGACAAAACCAAAUAAGGGACUUGUGUGAUUCUAGGGUGAGAUGGUCUCUCAGUCUAACGCCAGAUAUGGAAUGGAGAGGACGGGGCUGCGCUGGCCAAAGGGAGCCCCCCGCAGGCUUGGCCCAGACCCAAACCCUGUAACAAAGCAGCCAAAGAUGCCCGGGCCUGGCUUUGCAGCCGCACACAUGUGUGCACGGAGGGAAGAGGAGAUGGGCCUGUGGAACCCAUGCGGGACAGCGCCCUCUGCUCCAGGCUUGCUUUCCUCUCAGCCCUCGGGGGCUACACCUUACCCCUCCCGGCCCUACCAGAAACUCUGGUCUCCCCAUCAGCCAACCCUUCACAGCCUGUUGGGCUGGUCCUCUGCUGUCCCACGCAGUGGCCACCAGCCCGUGACACAGAGCGAGACUUGAGCGCCCUGUCGCCAUGCAGAGGAGCAGCCACUGUGCAGGCAGCAAGGUUGGGAUGUGCUCUCAACAGCCGGCCAUGCUGGGUGGCCUUGUCUACACUAGCGUGGCCUGGCCUCGAGUCUACACAGCAAGCAUGGGGGGAAGCAGACCCAGAGUCUAAUCCUAGCUCCCAUUGGAGCCACCAUGUGACCAGGGACAGCCACACAGGUCUUGUCCUUGGAGUCAUGCGUUGUUUCUGCCUCCCAUUGAGUUGAGGGACAGCUCCCCUCCUCCUCUUCCUCCUCCUCGUCUUCCUCCUCCUCCUCCUUGUCUUCCUCCUCCUCCUCCUCCUCCUUGUCUUCCUCCUCCUUCUCCUCCUCGUCUUCCUCCUCCUCCUCCUUGUCUUCCUCCUCCUUCUCCACCUUGUCUUCCUCCUCCAUCUCCUCCUCCUUGUCUUCCUCCUCCUUCUCCACCUUGUCUUCCUCCUCCUUCUCCUUGUCUUCCUCCUCCUCCUCCUCCUGCAUGGUGCCUGGUGGGCUGGGUCAGGUCCUCCACUAUAUGGACACAGCCCUCUUGGGAUGUGGGAGCAUCGGCCCAGUGUCUUCAGCCUCCCGCAGGAUCACUCCAGGUUUACAGGUGCAGAGGGCAGGCAGCAGGCAGGCUGUAGCGUGUCUGCAGGGUGGCGAGUGCGGCGAGCGCUCACCAUGGCUCAGACCUGUGUGUAGUGCGGCCUGUGACUUCCCUGCAGCACCACGCACAUUAAGACAAACCACCACCAUGCAGAGGAGGCCGCGAUUCCGAGGAUGGAGGACCUCUUGCAGCCUCACGGCCCAUCCUCGGUGGCUGCUGCUGUAUCUCGGCUGCCUCUAGCUCAAGGCUGGGCCCUGCACAGUGGCACCCAGGGUCACUAACAGGCCAGCUCUGCUGUGUGACAGGUGCGGCCUCUGCUGUCAGCCAGCAGCCUCGGUGCCAGGCCUGGGUGGUGGAGGAGAGGGUGUUUGUAUCAGGUGGGAUGGGGGCUGGGCACGCUUUCCGCAGCAUCUGGGUGGAAGGAGCUGAGACAUGGUCUCAGGAUGUAACCCAGGCUGGGCUUGAACUCAUGGCAGCCCCUUCGCCUCAGCCUCAGGAGCGCUGGGGUUAGAGACAUGUUAUAGCCUGCAUCUAGAUGCCCUCCAAAGCUGCACAGGUGGCUGGACCAAGGGUGUGUGAAUGUACACAAGAGUGUGUGAUGGCUGGAUUGGUGCACUGACCGACCGGCUUAGCUCUGUUGUGGAUGGAGGUAACGGAAUCCCCACCUGAGACAUGGGUGGCACUAGCAGGACUGUCUACAGGCAGAGGGAGAGAGGGAAGGUAGGGUCACUGCUGGUCACUGCUGGCCGCUUCCUGCUGGCCCUGCUGGGGACUGUUCCUCCCCUGCGAUGCCCCUCUGCCAUACCACCCUGCCUUGGAGCCAGCUGAGUACGGACUGAAACCCCUACAAACUGUAAGCAAAUAAAUCUUUCCUGUUUUAA